rnacentral:rRNA from 1 species
GACGAACGCUGGCGGCGUGCUUAACACAUGCAAGUCGAACGGAAAGGCCCUGCUUUUGUGGGGUGCUCGAGUGGCGAACGGGUGAGUAACACGUGAGUAACCUGCCCUUGACUUUGGGAUAACUUCAGGAAACUGGGGCUAAUACCGGAUAGGAGCUCCUGCUGCAUGGUGGGGGUUGGAAAGUUUCGGCGGGUGGGGAUGGACUGGCGGCUUAUCAGCUUGUUGGUGGGGUAGUGGCUUACCAAGGCUUUGACGGGUAGCCGGCCUGAGAGGGUGACCGGCCACAUUGGGACUGAGAUACGGCCCAGACUCCUACGGGAGGCAGCAGUGGGGAAUAUUGCACAAUGGGCGGAAGCCUGAUGCAGCAACGCCGCGUGCGGGAUGACGGCCUUCGGGUUGUAAACCGCUUUCGCCUGUGACGAAGCGUGAGUGACGGUAAUGGGUAAAGAAGCACCGGCUAACUACGUG